ensembl:snRNA U6 U6 spliceosomal RNA
UGUGCUUGCUCCAGGAACACAAUACUAAAAUUGGAAUAAUACAGAGAAGAUCACCAUGGCCCUGCACAAGAAUGUCAUGCAAAUUUAUGAAAUAGUAUUGUUUUUA